rnacentral:rRNA from 1 species
UACGGGGGGGAGCAAGCGUUGUUCGGAUUUACUGGGCGUAAAGGGCGCGUAGGCGGCCAGCACAAGUCAGUUGUGAAAUCUCCGAGCUUAACUCGGAACGGUCAACUGAUACUGUGCGGCUAGAGUGCAGAAGGGGCAACUGGAAUUCUUGGUGUAGCGGUGAAAUUCGUAGAUAUUCGCAAGAACACCAGUGGCGAAGGCGGCUCACUGGCCCGGUACUGACGCUGAGGUGCGAAAGCGUGGGGAGCAAACAGG